CGACCCCGGUUUUGCAUUCUUGUGAAAUAGAUGAAGGAUGGUUAAAGGAUUAUUAUACACUUUACAGAUAUGCCUGCGUAUUUAUCUGUUCGACACGUGUUUCUCAGGCUAUUAUGUUAAGACAAAUAUGCAUAAUAUUAUUCAGUAAAACCAUGUAUCAAAUUUCUCUUGAAACUAUGCUUAAGUAAACAUGUGUCAUAUGCAGGAAUUAACAAGUUUUACCCACACUAGCAUUAUAAUUAUUAAUCGAUUUAGUAAAUGUAUCAUGAUAUAUAGUAGAUGAC
rnacentral:lncRNA from 1 species